rnacentral:piRNA from 1 species
UAGGAAUUUUAUCAUUUCAGAUUCUGAUUU